rnacentral:lncRNA from 1 species
UCCAUAAAGCAAGACCAGAAAGCCUAAAUCAAAGCCAGGCUGUAUUGAAAGAGCAGGCUGAUAAGCAUUAAGAACAGAAGGUUGAGAGGUAGCACACUGGAUGAGGAGCGAGUCCCCCACUCACGCAUGAGUCUGGCCCAGUGAGUGGGGCAAGAGCGAUCGCAGUGGAUGAGCAGGGAUUAUAGUUUGCAGACUGGCUGGAAGCUCACUCCGUGGGUCUGAGGACAGCGUGCUGUCCUAGGCAGUUCAGUAGGUGGAGGCAUCUCCCACGAGCACCCUCAGGAGGUCAUGGCUGCUCUCAGCUUCCACGAGAAUCCUGCAAGUGGCUGCUGCUGGGAAGGCUGUGGCCAGGGAGGAAGCUCAGGGUGAACGGGCCACUCUAACUCCCAAGUCUGCUGCUUCCCAACCCCUUGGUUGCCAACAGAGCUGAAGAUAAGAGGAGCUCUGGGCUGUUAGCAGAUUGCAGCUCAAGACUGAAACUCACAGCAAAGAUCCAUCUCAGCCUCCACUGCUUACGCCACCGAAUGGCAAGGAUCAACCAUGAAAUGAACUCCAGUGGGCUCUUACAGAGAACACAGAGAUAAAGGAAUGGGAAAGUCACAUCCAAAAUUUAAACACACGUUUUCGGCUUUGGUUCUUCCCUGAGAGAUGUCUCAUAAACUUCAGAAGAGGAGAAAACCAUGAAGUGAUGAUAGCACUGAAUGUUCUACUUUUUACGACUGGGCAAGAUGUGUGCUCACCCACCAGUGCUGAGACCUCAGGCCGGGAGUGGCAUCCAAUUGGGAACUGUGUGAAGAUGGUCGGCUCGGGGAGGAAAGGGGUGGACAGUGACAGACGGAUCCCUCCUACCAUGAAAUCACUGCCUCGAUCUGAUAUUAUGUUACUCAGGAGCUAGUGUCUCUUGUGUGUUUUUUCUUGGGCCAAGGGCUCCCCUUAAUUCUUCUGCUCCCCAUGAGACCUGGCCUGGUCUGGUCCCUUCCUUCUGCCCCUGGCUUCUGCUUCUGUCUCUCCUUUGAGACUACAGUCAGGAAAUAGGACUUCCAGAUCUGCUUCAGAAAGUGGCAGAAAUGUUAGGAUAAGUGUAUUUAAAGACAGGGGGAGUCUUCUGAGGGGGAUUAAUGGCAAUGUGUCCUUUACUGUAACAAAUUUUUGAAAAUUUAAACAUUCACGAUCUACUUGGAUCACACUUGCAUAAGUGUAGGACAGAACUCAAUGUACUUCUGGCCCUGGAGCACAGCUUUGGGGGUUCCUCAGGACAGAAGGUCUUGCUGGAGCAUAUGCCAACUUGUUGCCCAGCAGCCUCAGGCAUCCUGGGAUCUUCACUGUGCCAGUCCCAUUAGCAUGGGCCCUUGUUGUCUGUUGGUCCCUGCUUCUCCCCAG